CAGCUGUGGAGCUUGGCUGAGGUGGGGGUAUGGAUGACUGAAAAGGAACAAGAGGGAACUUUAUGAGAAUCAGUUCAAUAGCAACAAAUGGUCUACUUACUCCAGCUCCCAGCUUCCUUUGGCAUUCCCAGCAUUGCCCUGAGAAGGUCCUCCUCCAAGAAAAGAGCACCAGCUGCCUAAGUUUAAGCAAUGGCCAUAACCCCCUCCUCUGUACCCUAAGUUUUAUUAAGUCCACCUCUUCCCUCCAGCUCCAACAGACCCAGGAGGUCAGCUGCUUCCUGCAGACACUAAUCACAAAUUCAGCGAUGUUUAGAGCCAAUGAGAGUCAGCUGCAGAUGACCACAGUAGCCCAAACGAGAAGGAACAAUUUACGUGAUGGGAGAAAAUGGAAUGUUCUUGCAGUCGAUCCAACUGAUCAAGAUGGCUGCAACCGCAUUGUGUGAAGAAUAAAUACCCGCUGCACAAAUGUCUGAUGUCUCUGCCUGUAUG
rnacentral:lncRNA from 1 species